rnacentral:tRNA from 1 species
UAAUUUUUUAGUUUAUUUAAAAAUAUUUAGUUGUGGUCUAAAAGAUUUGAAAAUUUU